AUUGAGGGGGGCCGUUACGUCAACGCGCCGCCGCUUGGUUGCUCGAGUGGACUGUUUACAUCCGUGUUGGUAGAGACUGCCGAAGCUGCCAACCACUGUACAAAAGUCUAUUUUGCUGCGUGAGGAACCGAAUGUGGACAAUUGAGACGGUAGUCGUGCUCAUGGAGAGCAGGAACACAUAUGUUUGGAGCAGAUACAGCAGCAGCAAUAUUGUCCCGCACAUGGUCUCCUGCUCCUGCAGCAAGGUUGUGAGGCGGAGGCGUCAUCAUGGUCUUCAUCAUCUGCUGGCUCAAUGAUGUCCCCAUUGACCAAAGCGAGAUUGUGAAGCGCAGCAUACAACAACCUCAGACAGGAAGGCAGGCCUCACCUUGAAGAAAAUACUGCGCCGGCGUGCUUUUAGCAUGGCAAAACAGGGUUUAUACAGGGUUCUGUACAGGCUCACGGUAUGGGGUGAUGAUGCAGAUAGGUGCACUCAGGCAAGGAUAGCUACCGUCCCCGAGGAUGCACUUUCCAGCAGGUGGAUCAAGGCUGCCAGGAUACACAGGGCUGUUCCUCAGCACCCUGGAAUCAUGCACAGACAUCAAGGAAUUUCCCUCGGUGAUCAGUGGUGGCCUGGAGUUGCACAGUUUCCGGUUGUAGUAACAGUGGGAGUUAUGUGCUGGAGGUUUAAUCCGGAUAUGAUAGCCAUGUAGUGCACCAACAGCUCUGCUGAAAGCUGGUGACCCAGCCAGCUGUGCAAAUCCUGCUCCCAUUGCCUCCAGGUCAUGGCCAGUUGAAAAGGAAAUUACCCUCUUCCAAAUUCCUACAAUUGCCUUGCUCACCCUAUGCACGAUGUCAUGCACAGAGGACUUAGGGAUUUCCAAAGCCUAUGACACCACCCUGAAGGAUGCUGCAUGGACCAGCCAGUACAGGAACACAAUCACCUCGAUGUCUGUUUUCCAUCUAUGGUCACAGUCCAAUCUGACUGCAGCAAUGAGGGACCUCAUGGACAGCAAAGACAGGCGAAGGUGGCCACGGUGGUCUGCGUCUUCAUGCAUGUAAAGCCACAGAAUUGGCACUGUGUGGUUUAAAUAGCAGUAGGUUGUUGGAUUCUCCACCUGGGAAUAUGGGAUUAUAUAUCAUUAAAAAGGCGUUGUUCUACUUUGGGUGAAAUGUCUGUUUUUUUAUUUGUCAUAGUUAUUUGUAUUUCUUCAGUUUUUAAAUUGUUUGUAAUGUUGUCAUUUGUAUUGUACUCUGUUUAUGAAUUAAAUGUAAUUGAGUUAUUAGUUAUUGUGUUGCUUCAUUGCCUUAUGUCGAACAUUUCUGUUCAUACACUGAUAAAAAUAAUCUGUUGCACAUAAUUAAAUUAGGUUUUCUUAAAAGAAAAUAAACAUUAAUUGAAAAUAUUUUCAUUUUAAGACAACUUCUUUUUUUAAGUGAAAUCAUUGUUUCAAAACUUAAUUCAAUCAUGUGCAAUCUGAGAUUUCUUUUAGUGUAGGUGCAUUUUUGUAGUCUGCUGAUGUGAUGUCACAAUUCUAAACAACAAUUUGUGUCUUUAACUGCACUGAAAAAGUCACACGCUGGCUUUACUAAAGUGUAGUGCAUCAAUUUUGCAUGCGUUUUUUUUAAAUAAGUUACACAGGUACUGAGAAAAAUUGGUUCAAUUGCUUACUUUCCAUGGGAAGCUUAUUUAAGAAGAUAAUGCAUUAGUUUGCCUUCCACUUAUUCAA